CGGACGGGUGAGUAACACGUGGAUAACCUACCUAUAAGACUGGGAUAACUUCGGGAAACCGGAGCUAAUACCGGAUAAUAUAUUGAACCGCAUGGUUCAAUAGUGAAAGACGGUUUUGCUGUCACUUAUAGAUGGAUCCGCGCCGCAUUAGCUAGUUGGUAAGGUAACGGCUUACCAAGGCAACGAUGCGUAGCCGACCUGAGAGGGUGAUCAGCCACACUGGAACUGAGACACGGUCCAGACUCCUACGGGAGGCAGCAGCC
rnacentral:rRNA from 1 species